ACACGAGUUAACAGCUUUUAGAACAACAACAACAACUGAAAUAUUGAAAUCAACAGAUUAGCUGAUAGAUUAAGCGUCCAAGAACACGUGGUAUUAGAACGGGAGCUCCGGCUUUCCAAAUGAUGAAAAAGAAGACCACUUAGUCAAAUAGAUCAACAAUCAAGGGAGUCAGAUAGUGUGAACUGAAAUCAGUGGUGAAGAUAGCAAUGUAGUUGUAAUAAAGUGAAUUUAAUAAGAAGCAGAGUUGAUAGUCAGAUCAGCAUUCUGUGUGAAAAUAGAUAAAUUGAGCAAAAAAUGGCUUCUUGAAAUCAAAGCUGACACUUCAGAAGAAAACCAUAUUGAAAGUACUGAAAGAAGAGGAAAAGAGGAUUCAAGGAAGAGACAGGAUGAAUGAAGACAGUGAAGAUAUGUGUGAUCAAAAAAUUAAAGUAAUGAUAUUUGUAAAGGCAGUGUAAGUGAUGAAAGAUUAACUGUGACAGCUUGUCAGAGUUCGCUUGUUAGACUCAAAGGAGUCUUUUAAUGUAGGUAAUGUUCUGGUUAGUUUGGUAUACAUGCUGAUGACAUGUUGGAAAACCAGUCAGAGCCUCAGUCUGAUUCAUUCAGUGAAAUGCUUGUACUUCCAUCAGCAAACUUUGCAUUGAGGAAGCUAGAUGGAAAUCAAAUGUACUAGAUGUAAAAAGAAUAUUAAAGAAUUAUUUAAAGUCGUAUGAAGCAAAUGUAGACGCUGAUUUGGUCACAGAAUCACCAAAUCUUGGACUAGAAAAUCAGAAAAAGAAAGACAGUGGUGAAAGCUGAUAAACUAUCAGAACAUAAUGAAAUUGAAGUAGAUAAGAUCAGCAACAUAAAGCCAGAAAUGUUGGUACACAGUAAAGGGGAUGCGACACAAAAACAAAGAUUUAAAAGAAAAAUUCUGACAUUUUUGGAUUCUGGUUGAUGAAAGCUUGCCAAACAAGAAAGUUAAAGUUGGACCAAGCAGUGAGAAAUUUGUGAAUUUAGAAAACAUGAAAAAGACUUUGAAAAAGAUUCAAAUACCAAACUAUCUUUUUUAUUGUGGAGGUGGUAAAGCUCUACCAACAUUGUCAUUUUUCAUGUCAACAAGAAAUCUUUAACCAAGAUGAAAUCAUCUUCAGCAGUAAAAGUGUCUGAAGCAGGAACAUCAAGGAUAUAGAUGAUGAUUAUGGCAACAAUAUAGUUCCAUUGGGAAAUUGAAUGAAGAACAUCUUCAGUAUCUGAUAAGGAGCAAUGAAAAAUACAUUCAGAGCAUGUUUGAAGGGAAGGUCUCUUGUGAAUGAAAUCAGGCAUAUAAAAAAGGUAGAAAGAGCAGAAGGUACUUGAAUUAUGACUCGAGACUGGAUCAGUUUACAGAAGAACAAGUGGACACUGUUAUGGAAAGCCGUAUUACCAUUUAUUGUAAAAGACAUCUCCAGAGAUGGAGUUCUAAAAAUUACUCAAUAUUUAGAUUACAUAAUGAAAAUAUUGCCACUGGAGAUAUUGAUCGAAGUACACAUGGACAUACUCGAUACUACUUUAGUCAUGAAGAGAGUGAGAAAAAUACAGCAUCUCAACAAUAGACAAGUCCAUAGGAACUGGGUGGGACAAAUACUGAAACAGGUGCAAAAGGAAGUCUAGAUUGCAUUUGAUGUUUCUCAAGGUACACUUGGCAAAUGGAGGAAAAUAUUUUGAACAAGCUGCUUGAAUGUCGUUUGGCAGAACACAAGGUUGCAAAGAUAAGAUUUUAGCGAUCUUUUUC
rnacentral:lncRNA from 1 species